rnacentral:lncRNA from 1 species
CCCUUUACGCUCGUAUCCCCACGACUUGGCUUGCGGUAACGUAGCCAAGCGCUUGAAGUUAAAAAGCGGGAAAAUGUGAGUGGCGGUUUCGGAAAGGGAAAGCGGUGGUGAAAGGAGAAAUUUUGACACGUAAUUUUUUUUGGAAGAUUUGGACCCUCAUGUCCGCCUCAUCUCUGCAUGGUAAUGAGGAGCAUUCUAAGUCUUGUGGGAGAGCAGUUGUUGCUAACAGACUCAAGCCCUCCUUCAAGCCACGAGUAAUUGCCCGUAACGGACUAUAUGGUGGGUGUUAUAAUUGUGUGUUGAGUGCCGGGCUAUGAGUUGCAUUUUUCUGUGACGGAAAAAGGAAGGAUUUUGCUUUUGAAGUUGUUUAUGUAACGGUGGUACCAUAUCAGCCUCACAUCCACAAUGGUGCCAGGAAGAGUCCGAUUCAUGGGAAUUAUGGCACUCAUAAUUCUCAUGGCGAGACAGUGUGACGUCAGAUCUGUGAGUCCGAGAGAUCAAGAAAUUCGUGGACAUUUGAUCAAUAUAUCAAAACUCAUUGAUAUUAUGUUGAAAAAGACGAAUUGCACAGACGUCCUCCCGAUAAGCGGUGGUGGACGCGAGACACCGCCAGCUCUUCCCCCACCAUCCCCCUCCUCCUCCCCCUCCUCCUCCUCUUCCUCCUCCUCCUCCUCCUCCCAGGAUCCCUCCUCCUCCUCCUCCUCCUCCUCCUCCUCCCAG